GGGGAGAGAUGGAGAGGGAGGAGCUGGCCCUUGUAGAAGAGCUCGUCGUUCUGCUACAUAAUACUCGUCUGAGUUGUAGAGUUUGGGAUAUAAUGGUUGUGUUUGUGGUCCAUUUGGUGUGUGAUUAGUACGUUAGAGAGAGCUUUCUAAUCAGUUGGUGGAUCUGAGAGGUGUUGAAGGCUCACACUCACAAUCCUCACAUGGGAUGAUGGGAUGAGUUUGGGAGUUUGGACUACUCUCUC
rnacentral:lncRNA from 1 species